rnacentral:rRNA from 1 species
UUGUCUCAAAGAUUAAGCCAUGCAUGUCUCAGUACAAGCCACAUUAAGGUGAAACCGCGAAAGGCUCAUUAAAUCAGUUAUGGUUCCUUAGAUCGUACCCACUUUUACUUGGAUAACUGUGGUAAUUCUAGAGCUAAUACAUGCAAAUAGAGCUCCAACCAGCGAUGGGAGGAGCGCUUUUAUUAGAUCAAAACCAAUCGGUGACGGGUUCGCUCGUCAUCGUACAACUUGGUGACUCUGAAUAACUUUAAGCUGAUCGCACGGUCUCGCACCGGCGACGCAUCUUUCAAAUGUCUGCCUUAUCAACUGUCGAUGGUAGGUUCUGCGCCUACCAUGGUCGUAACGGGUAACGGGGAAUCAGGGUUCGAUUCCGGAGAGGGAGCCUGAGAAACGGCUACCACAUCCAAGGAAGGCAGCAGGCGCGCAAAUUACCCACUCCCGGCACGGGGAGGUAGUGACGAAAAAUAACGAUACGGGACUCAUCCGAGGCCCCGUAAUCGGAAUGAGUACACUCUAAACCCUUUAACGAGGAUCAAUUGGAGGGCAAGUCUGGUGCCAGCAGCCGCGGUAAUUCCAGCUCCAAUAGCGUAUAUUAAAGUUGUUGCGGUUAAAAAGCUCGUAGUCGAAUUUGUGUCCCGCGCCGCCGGUUCAUCGUCCGCGGUGUUAACUGGCGUGUCGCGGAAUGUCCUGCCGGUGGGCUUAGCGCGCAAGUGCGGCCCAAUCAAUCCUGCCACGGUGCCCUUCACUGAGUGUCGAGGUGGGCCGGCACGUUUACUUUGAACAAAUUAGAGUGCUUAAAGCAGGCUAAAACUUUGCCUGAAUACUGUGUGCAUGGAAUAAUGGAAUAGGACCUCGGUUCUAUUUUGUUGGUUUUCGGAACUCCGAGGUAAUGAUUAAUAGGAACGGAUGGGGGCAUUCGUAUUGCGACGUUAGAGGUGAAAUUCUUGGACCGUCGCAAGACGGACAGAAGCGAAAGCAUUUGCCAAAAACGCUUUCAUUGAUCAAGAACGAAAGUUAGAGGUUCGAAGGCGAUCAGAUACCGCCCUAGUUCUAACCAUAAACGAUGCCAGCUAGCGAUCCGCCGACGUUCCUCCGAUGACUCGGCGGGCAGCUUCCGGGAAACCAAAGCUUUUGGGUUCCGGGGGAAGUAUGGUUGCAAAGCUGAAACUUAAAGGAAUUGACGGAAGGGCACCACCAGGAGUGGAGCCUGCGGCUUAAUUUGACUCAACACGGGAAACCUCACCAGGCCCGGACACCGGAAGGAUUGACAGAUUGAGAGCUCUUUCUUGAUUCGGUGGGUGGUGGUGCAUGGCCGUUCUUAGU